rnacentral:rRNA from 1 species
GCCUACGGGGCGCAGCAGUAGGGAAUAUUGCUCAAUGGGGGAAACCCUGAAGCAGCAACGCCGCGUGGAGGAUGAAGGUUUUAGGAUUGUAAACUCCUUUUGUUAGAGAAGAUUAUGACGGUAUCUAACGAAUAAGCACCGGCUAACUCCGUGCCAGCAGCCGCGGUAAUACGGAGGGUGCAAGCGUUACUCGGAAUCACUGGGCGUAAAGAGCGCGUAGGCGGGAUAGCAAGUCAGAUGUGAAAUCCUAUGGCUUAACCAUAGAACUGCAUUUGAAACUGUUAUUCUAGAGUAUGGGAGAGGCA